AGAGUUUGAUCAUGGCUCAGGAUGAACGCUGGCGGUCUGCUUAACACAUGCAAGUCGAACGGACUCUUCGGAGUUAGUGGCGGACGGGUGAGUAACGCGUGAGAAUCUACCUUCAGGACGGAGACAACAGUUGGAAACGACUGCUAACCCCCGAUGAACCGAAAGGGCAAAUAUUUAUAGCCUGAAGAAGAGCUCGCGUCCGAUUAGCUAGUUGGAGAGGUAAAAGCUCACCAAGGCGACGAUCGGUAGCUGGUCUGAGAGGACGAUCAGCCACACUGGGACUGAGACACGGCCCAGACUCCUACGGGAGGCAGCAGUGGGGAAUUUUCCGCAAUGGGCGAAAGCCUGACGGAGCAAGACCGCGUGGGGGAAGAGGGCUCUUGGGUCGUAAACUCCUUUUCUCUGGGAAGAACAAAAUGACGGUACCAGAGAAAUCAGCUUCGAUUCCCC
rnacentral:rRNA from 1 species